UCAUCAUUCCCAUUAAAUUGAAAAUUUAAUUAUUAAAUAUGACUGUAAAA
rnacentral:tRNA from 1 species